AGAGUUUGAUGGUGGCUCAGNUUGAACGCUGGCGGCAGGCCUAACACAUGCAAGUCGAACGGUAACAUUUCUAGCUUGCUAGAAGAUGACGAGUGGCGGACGGGUGAGUAAUGCUUGGGAACUUGCCUUUGCGAGGGGGAUAACAGUUGGAAACGACUGCUAAUACCGCAUAAUGUCUUCGGACCAAACGGGGCUUUUAGCUCCGGCGCAAAGAGAGGCCCAAGUGAGAUUAGCUAGUUGGUAAGGUAACGGCUUACCAAGGCGACGAUCUCUAGCUGUUCUGAGAGGAAGAUCAGCCACACUGGGACUGAGACACGGCCCAGACUCCUACGGGAGGCAGCAGUGGGGAAUAUUGCACAAUGGGGGAAACCCUGAUGCAGCCAUGCCGCGUGUGUGAAGAAGGCCUUCGGGUUGUAAAGCACUUUCAGUUGUGAGGAAAAGUUAGUAGUUAAUACCUGCUAGCCGUGACGUUAACAACAGAAGAAGCACCGGCUAACUCCGUGCCAGCAGCCGCGGUAAUACGGAGGGUGCGAGCGUUAAUCGGAAUUACUGGGCGUAAAGCGCACGCAGGCGGUUUGUUAAGCUAGAUGUGAAAGUCCCGGGCUCAACCUGGGAUGGUCAUUUAGAACUGGCAGACUAGAGUCUUGGAGAGGGGAGUGGAAUUCCAGGUGUAGCGGUGAAAUGCGUAGAUAUCUGGAGGAACAUCAGUGGCGAAGGCGACUCCCUGGCCAAAGACUGACGCUCAUGUGCGAAAGUGUGGGUAGCGAACAGGAUUAGAUACCCUGGUAGUCCACACCGUAAACGCUGUCUACUAGCUGUGUGUGCCUUUAAGGCGUGCGUAGCGAAGCUAACGCGCUAAGUAGA
rnacentral:rRNA from 1 species